rnacentral:rRNA from 1 species
CCCUUAGAUGUUCUGGGCCGCACGCGCGCUACAAUGAUGCAGGCAACGAGUGCUGCUCCUUGGCCGAAAGGCUUGGGGAACCUUGAAAACUGCAUCGUGCUAGGGAUAGAUGAUUGCAAUCGUGCAUCUUGAACGAGGAAUGCCUUGUAAGCGUGAGUCAUCAACUCGCGCUGAAUACGUCCCUGCCCUUUGUACACACCGCCCGUCGCUCCUACCGAUUGGAUGGUCCGGUGAACUGGUCGGACUGAUAAUUGUCACUGUGGGUGCAGUAGCAUUACGGAAAGUCCGGUGAACCUUAUCAUCUAGAGGAAGGAGAAGUCGUAACA